AAUUCCGCCCGAUUACAAUAUUUUUGUGUGCUAUUGCCCUCCCUUCCAAGUGGUUCCGGGACCCCCGGACCCCGAUCGCCUAAAAUUUUUCCGGGCCGUCAAAUACGACCUAAGGAACCAUAGUAACCGCCCCGCCAUCAUCGUUCCUCAUUUUUUGCAUUUUUCGGCCAAAAAACUAGAAUUUCGCCCGAUUCCCAUAUUUUCGUGUGCUAUACCAGGCCUUCCAAGUGGUCCGGGGAGCCGCAAACCCCUAUCGCCUAAAAUAUUUUCGGACUAUCAAAUACGACCUAAGGAACCAUAGUAUCCGCCCCGCCAUGAUCGUUCCUCAUUUUUUGCAUUUUUCGGCCAAACAACUAGAAUUUCGCGUGAUUCCCAUAUUUUUGUGUGUUAUAGCCCACGCCUUCCGAGUGGUCCCGGGACCUCCUGACCCCUAUCGCCUAAUAUUUUUCCGGACUAUCAAAUAAGACCAAAGGAACCAUAGUCACCACCCUACCAAGAUCUUUCCACAUUUGUUGCAUGUUACUGAAAAAGACCUAGAAUUUCGCACGAUUCCCAUAUUUUCGUGUGCUAUACCCACGCAUUCCGAGUGGUCCCAAGAGCUGCGGACCCCGAUCGCCUAAAAAUUUUUUCGGGCAAUCAAAUAUGACCUAAAGAACCAUAGUAUCCUCCCCGCCAUGAUCGUUCCU
rnacentral:lncRNA from 1 species